GACGAACGCUGGCGGCGUGCUUAACACAUGCAAGUCGAACGGAAAGGCCCUGCUUUUGUGGGGUGCUCGAGUGGCGAACGGGUGAGUAACACGUGAGUAACCUGCCCUUGACUUUGGGAUAACUUCAGGAAACUGGGGCUAAUACCGGAUAGGAGCUCCUGCUGCAUGGUGGGGGUUGGAAAGUUUCGGCGGUUGGGGAUGGACUCGCGGCUUAUCAGCUUGUUGGUGGGGUAGGGGCUUACCAAGGCUUUGACGGGUAGCCGGCCUGGGAGGGUGACCGGCCACAUUGGGACUGCGAUACGGCCCAGACUCCUACGGGAGGCAGCAGUGGGGAAUAUUGCACAGUGGGCCGACGCGUGAUGCAGCAACGCCGCGUUCGGGAUGACGUCCUUCGGGUUGUAAACCGCUUUCGCCUGUGACGAAGCGUGAGUGACGGUACUGGGUAAAGAAGCACCGGCUAACUACGUG
rnacentral:rRNA from 1 species